ACCUGAGUGGCUUAGUUGGUUAAGCUCUUGAUUUAGGCUCAGGUCAUGAUCUCACAAUUCGUGGGUUCAAGCCCUGCUUCGGGUU
rnacentral:tRNA from 1 species